CUGCUGGUUAAACUGCUUACCCUACCUUUGGUCUACAGUCUUAAAUUUACCACAGGCAAUACAUAUGGAAAACUCUGUGGAGGGCUUAUAUGACCUCCUUCCUACAUACCUAUUAUAAUAUUUGAACUAAGUGACAAAAUGAUAUUUAUGGAGAGAGUGACAAAUAUGGUGUAUGACCUAUAUUUUGACUUUGCAUGAGACUUUUAACAAGAAGUGGGAUAAAUUUUACAGUGAAGUAUUAGGAAGACCCACUACAAUCUGUGAAUUAAUGAGAAAACUGAUUUUUGGUUGAUAAAAAGCUCUUGGGAUUUUGAAUUUCCCCAACCAUUCUUACCAAAUUUUGAUUUUGUUGGAGGACUUCACUGAAAACCUGCCAAACCCCUGCACAAGAUAGAAAGGAAAUGCUAUGAAGCUAUCAAGAAUUCACCAUGAUCAACCUGUAAGACCCCUGGACUGAGCAGUCUACUGGACUGAGUUUGCCAUAUGCUACAAAGGAGCCAAGCACGUGUGGCCAGCCACCCACAACCUCACCUGGUAGUAGUACCACUCACUGGACGUGAUUGGGUUCCUAUUGGCUUGUGUGGCAACUGUUGUAUUUGUCAUCACAAUAUGCUAUCUGUUUUGGUUCUGGAAGUUUGCUAAAACAGGAAAGAAGGAGAAAAGGGAAUAUCUGUAUCUGAGAACUGGAGCAAGUUUACUCCAUAGAUGAAACUCGUCCAGCAAGAAGGAGUUAUGAUAAGGAUCCUAUCCUCUUGUGACAAAACAACUUUUCACAAUUCAGUACCUCAG
ensembl:lncRNA